rnacentral:ncRNA from 1 species
UUAAUUAAAUUGUUUCUGGUUUUAUAUUUAUUAAAAAUUUAAAUUAUAUAUAAAUUUAUAAUUCAAAUUUAAAUUUUUAAAUAAAUUUAAAUUUAAAUAGAUUGUAAUAAUUAUUAUUAAAAUUAAUUUUUAAAUAAAUUUAAAUUUAGUAAUAUUUUUGAUUACUAAUUAAAAUUGUGCCAGCAAUUGCGGUUAAACAAUUAGUAAAAAUAAAUAUUAUUUUAAUUUAAAUUUUUAAUUAAUUAAUUUAAAUUUAAAAUUAUUAAGUGAAAUAAAAAUUUUUAAAUUAAAAAGUUAUUAAUAAAUUAAAAUUUAAAAAAAUUUGAAUAUAGACUAGGAUUAGAUACCCUAUUAUAAAAUUAAAAUUUAAAAAAUUUAAUUAGUAAAUUUUUUUUAAAAUUAAAGAAUAUGACGGUAUUUAAAUCAAUUUAGAGGAAUUUGUAUGUUAAUUGAUAAUCCACAAUUUAUAAAACUUAUUUUUUACUUAUAUAUCGUUGUUAUAAAAAUAUUUUUUAUAAUUUUAAGAAUAUUUAAAUAUUUAAAAGUUAAAUUUAUAUCAAAUCAAGAUAUAGUUAUAAAUAAGAUUUAUAUGAAUUACAAUAAAAUUAAAAAUUUUUAAUUUUAAUAUUAAAAAAAAAAAUUAAAUUGGAUUUAAUAGUAAUUUAAAAUAUUUAUUUUGAAUGAUUAAUGUUUUUAAAUAUGUACAUAUUGCCCGUCACUCUUAUUAAUUAAUAUAUAAAAAUUUAUUUAUAAAAAAAAUAAUUAAGAUAAGUCGUAACAUAGUAGAAGUAUUGGAAAAUGUUUCUAGAAAUAAAAGGUU